rnacentral:tRNA from 1 species
GGGGGUAUAGCUCAAGUGGUAGAGCGCACACUUAGCAGACACAAGGUCCUAGGUUCAAUCCCCAGUAUCUCCU